ACUCCUACGGGAGGCAGCAGUGGGGAAUAUUGCACAAUGGGGGAAACCCUGAUGCAGCCAUGCCGCGUGUGUGAAGAAGGCCUUGGGUUGUAAAGCACUUUCAGUAGGGAGGAAGGUAGUGUAGUUAACACCUGCAUUAUUUGACGUUACCUACAGAAGAAGCACCGGCUAACUCCGUGCCAGCAGCCGCGGUAAUACGGAGGGUGCGAGCGUUAAUCGGAAUUACUGGGCGUAAAGCGCAUGCAGGCGGCCUGUUAAGUCAGAUGUGAAAGCCCGGGGUCUUAACCUCGGAAUUGCAUUUGAAACUGGCAGGCUAGAGUCUUGUAGAGGGGUUAGAAUUUCAGGUGUAGCGGUGAAAUGCGUAGAGAUCUGAAGGAAUACCAGUGGCGAACGGCGGCCCCCUAGGACAAAGACUGACGCUCAGAUGCGAAAGCGUGGG
rnacentral:rRNA from 1 species